CCUACGGGAGGCAGCAGUGAGGAAUAUUGGUCAAUGGACGAGAGUCUGAACCAGCCAAGUAGCGUGAAGGAUGACUGCCCUAUGUGUUGUAAACUUCUUUUAUAAAGGCAUAAAACGCGGCACGUGUCCCUUUUUGCCGGUCUUUUUUGAAUAAGGAUCGGCUAACUCCGGGCAAGCAGCCGGGGUAAUACGGAGGAGCCGAGCGUUAUCCGGAUUUAUUGGGUUUAAAGGGAGCGUAGUGGGGUUGUGAAGUCUGUUGUGAAAGUUUGCGGCUCAACUGGAAAAUUGCAAUUGAUACUGGCAGGCUAGAGUACAGUAGAGGUAGGCGGAAUUCGUGGUGUAGCGGUGAAAUGCUUAGAUAUCACGAAGAACCCCGGUUGCGAAGGCAGCUUACUAAACUGUAACUGACGUUGAUGCUCGAAAGUGUGGGUAUCAAACAGGAUUAGAUACCCCAGUAGUC
rnacentral:rRNA from 1 species